rnacentral:rRNA from 1 species
GCGCUGGCGGCGUGCCUAACACAUGCAAGUCGAACGGUGCUAGGAAAGCUUGCUUUCCGAAGCCUAGUGGCGGACGGGUGAGUAACGCGUGAGUAACCUGCCUUUCAGAGGGGAAUAACGUUCUGAAAAGAACGCUAAUACCGCAUAACGUACAGUUACCGCAUGGUAGCAGUACCAAAGGAACAAUCCGCUGAAAGAUGGACUCGCGUCCGAUUAGCUAGUUGGUGGGGUAAAGGCCUACCAAGGCGACGAUCGGUAGCCGGACUGAGAGGUUGAACGGCCACAUUGGGACUGAGACACGGCCCAGACUCCUACGGGAGGCAGCAGUGGGGGAUAUUGCACAAUGGGGGAAACCCUGAUGCAGCAACGCCGCGUGUGGGAAGAAGGUUUUCGGAUUGUAAACCACUGUUCUUGGUGAAGAUAAUGACGGUAACCAAGGAGAAAGCUCCGGCUAACUACGUGCCAGCAGCCGCGGUAAUACGUAGGGAGCAAGCGUUGUCCGGAUUUACUGGGUGUAAAGGGUGCGUAGGCGGCUAGGCAAGUCAGACGUGAAAACCAUGGGCUCAACCUGUGGACUGCGUUUGAAACUGUUUAGCUUGAGUGAAGUAGAGGUAGGCGGAAUUCCCGGUGUAGCGGUGAAAUGCGUAGAGAUCGGGAGGAACACCAGUGGCGAAGGCGGCCUACUGGGCUUUAACUGACGCUGAGGCACGAAAGCAUGGGUAGCAAACAGGAUUAGACACCCUGGUAGUCCAUGCCGUAAACGAUGAUUACUAGGUGUGGGGGGUCUGACCCCCUCCGUGCCGGAGUUAACACAAUAAGAAAUCCACCUGGGGAG